ACUGAAUAGAUACCCGGGUAGUCCACGCCGUAAACGAUGGAUGCUAGCUGUUAUCGGUAUCGACCCCGGUAGUAGCGAAAGCUAAACGCGUUAAGCAUCCCGCCUGUGGAGUACGGUCGCAAGACUAAAACAUAAAGGAAUUGACGGGGACCCGCACAAGCGGUGGAGCGUGUUGUUUAAAUUCGAUGGUAAGCGAAGAACCUUACCCAGGUUUGACAUCCUUGGAAAUUUUUCCGAAAGGAAAAAGUGCUUAUUGAACCAAGUGACAGGUGUUGCAUGGCCGUCGUCAGCUCGUGUCGUGAGAUGUUUGGUUAAGUCCAUCAACGAGCGCAACCCUUAUGUUUAGUUGAAUUUUUCUUAGACAGACUGCCCUCGGCAACAGGGAGGAAGGAGGGGAGUGAUGUCAGGUCAGUAUUACCCUUACACCU
rnacentral:rRNA from 1 species